UACACGCUGUGACUAGCAUAUCAAUAAGCGGAGGAAAAGAAACUAACAAGGAUUCCCCUAGUAACGGCGAGUGAAGCGGGAAGAGCUCAAAUUUGAAAUCUCAAAGGGUUUCCCUUUACGAAUUGUAGUUUAAAGAAGUGUUUUCUGUUGAGGUUUUGGUAAUAGUUCUUUGGAAUAGGACAUCAUAGAGGGUGAGAAUCCCGUAUUUGACCUUUACUUUCAACUUUGUGAUACACUUUCAAAGAGUCGGAUUGUUUGGGAAUGCAGUCCAAAAUGGGUGGUAAAUUUCAUCUAAAGCUAAAUAUUGGCGAGAGACCGAUAGCGAACAAGUACCGUGAGGGAAAGAUGAAAAGAACUUUGAAAAGAGAGUUAAACAGUACGUGAAAUUGUCAAAAGGGAAGCGUUUGACACCAGUGUUGUUUUUCUGAAAAUCAAUUAAAGAACUGUUUAUGCUAAGUUGUUUAGACUUUAUCAGCUAACUGUUUAGUUUUGAGCUUUUCUUUAAUGCACUUUUCAGUUAACAAGUCAACAUCAAUUUCUUUUGCUGUAAAAAAGCUUGAGGAAGGUGGCUUGAGAUUCGUCUUAAGUGUUUAUAGCCUCUUGCCUAUGCAGUCGGAGAGAUUGAGGUCUGCAGCGUAGAUCCUUCGGGGCUAAAUGCAUUUGUGCUAAGUUAUAGCAUUUCAUAGACAACUUGUUGACUAUGAUUUGUCUUGUAGCUUACUCGCUUAUGUUAUUUUACCUACGCUUAGGAUGUUGACAGCAGUAUAGACUGU
rnacentral:rRNA from 1 species